ACACUCCUGCGGGAGGCAGCAGUGGGGAAUUUUGGACAAUGGGCGAAAGCCUGAUCCAGCCAUGCCGCGUGCAGGAUGAAGGCCUUCGGGUUGUAAACUGCUUUUGUACGGAACGAAACGGCCUUUUCUAAUAAAGAGGGCUAAUGACGGUACCGUAAGAAUAAGCACCGGCUAACUACGUGCCAGCAGCCGCGGUAAUACGUAGGGUGCAAGCGUUAAUCGGAAUUACUGGGCGUAAAGCGUGCGCAGGCGGUUAGGUAAGACAGUUGUGAAAUCCCCGGGCUCAACCUGGGAACUGCAUCUGUGACUGCAUAGCUAGAGUACGGUAGAGGGGGAUGGAAUUCCGCGUGUAGCAGUGAAAUGCGUAGAUAUGCAGAGGAACACCGAUGGCGAAGGCAAUCCCCUGGACCUGUACUGACGCUCAUGCACGAAAGCGUGGGGAGCAAACAGGAUUAGAUACCCUUGUAGUCCCA
rnacentral:rRNA from 1 species